UAGACUGCACGUGAAUCAUCGAAUCUUUGAACGCAUAUUGCACCCGACAGGCUCGCUUGUCGGGUCUGCCUGUUUGAGUAUCAGAUCGGACCCAGCAGCCGACGACGGGGGCGUGGAACAGGGUUUUGCGACUCUGCUUUGCGCAUCCGCGUCGACUAGCCGGUGCUCGCUGCGCAGCAAUGUGCGGCGGAAAUGGGGUUUUGGGGGCGCGCUCGCGCAACCCCAUUCCCUGAAAUGUAUUGGCCGACCGGCGCAUCCUCGAUGUCGCGGCGCUUGGACUGCGGGCCGGUUUAGUCAAUGUUAAUCAUCCGCAAGGGUGGUCUUUGUUAAGUUGCCGGGUUAUUCAACGAGCGUGGCGCGAUGUCCAACCGACCACCCUUGCAAAUGCACGAAAGUAGUGUGCGCAAACCGCAGCGCGGGAAACCGCGUUUGCACCCACCAACUUGAUCUCAAAUCAGGCAGGAUGACCCGCUGAAUUUAAGCAUAUCAAUAAGCGGAGG
rnacentral:rRNA from 1 species